UUCUUUGUCUCUGUGUGGUCUCUUCAGCAUAGCAACAGCAGCGUAGCUGAACAUCUUACGGAUGGCCCAGGGCUCCAAAGGCUCGUUUCCUAAGUGAGAGAGAGCCUGGCUGAAGCUGUAUUACCAUUCAUUCUCCAGCCUCCGAAGUCUCAAAGCAUCACUUCCACCAUACUCUAACUGUCAAGACAAACACAAAGGCCCAGAAACUGCCAGACUGUCUUCUGAAGUGGCUAUAAUAUUUACACUCCCAUCAGCAGUGUAGAAGGGGUCUCACUAUGUUGUCUGGAGUGCUGUGGUGGAGUGGAGUGGCUAUUCACAGAGCCUGUUCUGCUGGGACACAGAAUCACUUGCUCCAUCUCAUACAUUGAUGAUGAUUAAUUUGUAUGUGUACCUUCCAAAAAAGAUGGUUGUGUUUGAAUGGAGGCCUUCUGGACAGGAAAAUAUGGAGAGUGCGUGCUUUGGAUUCAAGACUGGGAAUGAGGGGACCAGAAACCUAUUCUGUGGCUGUUUCUUGUUAGGACUUUCCUAAGCCUCUGGAAAAGUGCAAAGUACAAUUAACAUUUGAGUCUGUCUGAGUCAUGAAGAAAUGGAGAUUACUGAAAAUAAUUCAUUUUGGUAUCUUCUUACAUCCUGAGAGACUAAUCUUUCCAAGUUCAUCUGAGGCUCCUCUUCUCCAUGACAACCUCAUCCAGGGAUUUCUUCCUGUCCUGGUGUUUUAUGACAUCAUCCUCAUCUCGCUUGUAAGGAUAAUAGCCUUCCUCCAAACCUCACACACUUUUGGAGGAGAUCACUUUUUUUAAAGUGCAUGGAAAUGUUUUGAAACAGUGAAAUCUAUAAUGAUAGGUUUCAUAAUUCUAACAUCCACACCAUAUGAAUCACAUCCUUCCUGAGAUAAUGAGCACACAAUUGCCUGGAUACCUGAAGGAAUGGAGACAGCGGCAGAAAACACUGCAGAGAGGUGGAAACAUCCGUUAAUAUUUUAAAAUCCCAUUACUGCUACCAACAAUAAUAAUGGAUGCAUAGAAAUAGAUCUGGAUUAGCUGAGCUUGAAACAGUCCAUCUCACACACACACAAAAGAAUUUCAGGUAAUGAAGAAAAGAAAAGGAAAAAAAUAACACAUGGCCUCUGUAACAUUGUUGCUUUUGAACCUUAUUGGAUUUGUGGCAAACUGGGUGCUUUUGGGACAUGAGUCUCCUACCACUCACCUGCCUCUGAGCUCUCCUCUGAGGCCGGUCACUGCCCAGAAGGGAUGCACCUGUCUUCUGUCCUGUGGUCUCUGGGUAGCCCCUGGGUCAGCAUUUUGGGUGCUAGCAUCUGAUGCAACUGCUACAGUUGCUGAUGAGAAAGUAGCUACCCUCCUCCACUCCACCCCUGCCGCCCAGGCCCUGCCACUCCUGCUAACCUGUCAGGCUACAUUUUCAAUUACUGGCUUUGAAAAAUGUCCAGGUGGAUUAAAUCAAUGAAUGCGAUGAGCUGAACACAA
rnacentral:lncRNA from 1 species